rnacentral:rRNA from 1 species
GAUGAACGCUAGCGGCAGGCCUAAUACAUGCAAGUCGGACGGGAUUCAGGAGCUUGCUUCUGAUGAGAGUGGCGCACGGGUGCGUAACACGUAUGUAACCUACCUUUAUCAGGGGGAUAGCCUCUCGAAAGAGAGAUUAAGCCCGCAUAAAAUCACAGCACAGCAUUGUGUAAUGAUCAAAUAUUUAUAGGAUAAAGAUGGGCAUGCGGAACAUUAGCUAGAUGGCGGGGUAACGGCCCACCAUGGCGACGAUGUUUAGGGGAUCUGAGAGGAUGGCCCCCCACACUGGUACUGAGCCACGGACCAGACUCCUAUGGGAGGCAGCAGUAAGGAAUAUUAGUCGAUGGGCGGAAGCCUGAACCAGCCAUGCCGCGUGCAGGAAGACGGCCCUACGGGUUGUAAACUGCUUUUAUACGGGAAUAAACCCAGAUACGUGUAUCUGGCUGAAUGUACUGUAAGAAUAAGGAUCGGCUAACUCCGUG